rnacentral:rRNA from 1 species
CCUACGGGAGGCAGCAGUGAGGAAUAUUGGUCAAUGGACGAGAGUCUGAACCAGCCAAGUAGCGUGAAGGAUGACUGCCCUAUGGGUUGUAAACUUCUUUUAUAUGGGAAUAAAAUGUUCCACGUGUGGGAUUUUGUAUGUACCAUAUGAAUAAGGAUCGGCUAACUCCGUGCCAGCAGCCGCCGUAAUACGGAGGAUCCGAGCGUUAUCCGGAUUUAUUGGGUUUAAAGGGAGCGUAGAUGGAUUGUUAAGUCAGUUGUGAAAGUUUGCGGCUCAACCGUAAAAUUGCAGUUGAAACUGGCAGUCUUGAGUACAGUAGAGGUGGGCGGAAUUCGUGGUGUAGCGGUGAAAUGCUUAGAUAUCACGAAGAACUCCGAUUGCGAAGGCAGUUCACUGGACUGCAACUGACACUGAGGCUCGAAAGUGUGGGUAUCAAACAGGAUUAGAUACCCCAGUAGUC